rnacentral:rRNA from 1 species
AGUGAACGCUGGCGGUAGGCCUAACACAUGCAAGUCGAACGGCAGCACAGUAAGAGCUUGCUCUUACGGGUGGCGAGUGGCGGACGGGUGAGGAAUACAUCGGAAUCUACUUUUUCGUGGGGGAUAACGUAGGGAAACUUACGCUAAUACCGCAUACGACCUACGGGUGAAAGCAGGGGAUCUUCGGACCUUGCGCGAUUGAAUGAGCCGAUGUCGGAUUAGCUAGUUGGCGGGGUAAAGGCCCACCAAGGCGACGAUCCGUAGCUGGUCUGAGAGGAUGAUCAGCCACACUGGAACUGAGACACGGUCCGGACUCCUACGGGAGGCAGCAGUGGGGAAUAUUGGACAAUGGGCGCAAGCCUGGUCCAGCCAUACCGCGUGGGUGAAGAAGGCCUUCGGGUUGUAAAGCCCUUUUGUUGGGAAAGAAAAGCAGCAGGUUAAUACCCCGCUGUUCUGACGGUACCCAAAGAAUAAGCACCGGCUAACUUCGUG